rnacentral:rRNA from 1 species
GUAGGGGAUCUUCCACAAUGGACGAAAGUCUGAUGGAGCAACGCCGCGUGAGUGAAGAAGGGUUUCGGCUCGUAAACUCUGUUGUUAAAGAAGAACAUAUCUGAGAGUAACUGUUCAGGUAUUGACGGUAUUUAACCAGAAAGCCACGGCUAACUACGUGUCAG